rnacentral:rRNA from 1 species
UACGUAGGGCGCAAGCGUUAUCCGGAAUUAUUGGGCGUAAAGAGCUCGUAGGCGGUUUGUCGCGUCUGCCGUGAAAGUCCGGGGCUCAACUCCGGAUCUGCGGUGGGUACGGGCAGACUAGAGUGAUGUAGGGGAGACUGGAAUUCCUGGUGUAGCGGUGAAAUGCGCAGAUAUCAGGAGGAACACCGAUGGCGAAGGCAGGUCUCUGGGCGAUACUGACGCUGAGGAGCGAAAGCGUGGGGAGCGAACAGG